UUAUCGGUGUACGAUGGGGAUGCGUUCCAUUAGGUAGUAGGCGGGGUAACGGCCCACCUAGCCAACGAUGGAUAGGGGUUCUGAGAGGAAGGUCCCCCACAUUGGAACUGAGACACGGUCCAAACUCCUACGGGAGGCAGCAGUGAGGAAUAUUGGUCAAUGGACGAGAGUCUGAACCGGCCAAGUAGCGUGAAGGAUGAAGGUCCUACGGAUUGUAAACUUCUUUUAUAAGGGAAUAAACCCUCCCACGUGUGGGAGCUUGUAUGUACCUUAUGAAUAAGCAUCGGCUAACUCCGUGCCAGCAGCCGCGGUAAUACGGAGGAUGCGAGCGUUAUCCGGAUUUAUUGGGUUUAAAGGGAGCGCAGACGGGUCGUUAAGUCAGCUGUGAAAGUUUGGGGCUCAACCUUAAAAUUGCAGUUGAUACUGGCGUCCUUGAGUGCGGUUGAGGUGUGCGGAAUUCGUGGUGUAGCGGUGAAAUGCUUAGAUAUCACGAAGAACUCCGAUUGCGAAGGCAGCACACUAAUCCGUAACUGACGUUCAUGCUCGAAAGUGUGGGUAUCAAACAGGAUUAGAUACCCUGGUAGUCCACACGGUAAACGAUGGAUACUCGCUGUUGGCGAUAUACUGUCAGCGGCUUAGCGAAAGCGUUAAGUAUCCCACCCGGUG
rnacentral:rRNA from 1 species